rnacentral:pre_miRNA from 1 species
UGGUUUCGUCCUAAGUCAAACUUCUUUAAUUUUGACCAAUUUAUGGAUAAUAUAUUAAGAUCUACAAUACCAAAUAAAUGCACUAUCAACACAUAUUUUAUGGUGAACUUAAUGAAACUAAUUUGAUGUUGUAGGUGUCAGUGCAUUUUUCUAUAAACUUGGUCAAUGUUAAAGGAGUUUGACCUAGGACAAAACUAA